rnacentral:rRNA from 1 species
UAAAGGAAGCGAUUCCGGCUACGGAUGGUCAUGCGUCGCAUUAGCUAGUUGGCGGGGUAACGGCCCACCAAGGCGACGAUGCGUAGGGGUUCUGAGAGGAAGGUCCCCCACACUGGUACUGAGACACGGACCAGACUCCUACGGGAGGCAGCAGUGAGGAAUAUUGGUCGAUGGCCGCAGGGCUGAACCAGCCAAGUCGCGUGAGGGAUGACGGUCCUAUGGAUUGUAAACCUCUUUUGUCAGGGAGCAAAGGACGCCACGUGUGGCGUUUUGCGAGUACCUGAAGAAAAAGCAUCGGCUAACUCCGUGCCAGCAGCCGCGGUAAUACGGAGGAUGCGAGCGUUAUCCGGAUUUAUUGGGUUUAAAGGGUGCGCAGGCGGAAUGUCAAGUCAGCGGUAAAAUUUCGGGGCUCAACCCCGUCGUGCCGUUGAAACUGGCGUUCUUGAGUGAGCGAGAAGUAUGCGGAAUGCGUGGUGUAGCGGUGAAAUGCAUAGAUAUCACGCAGAACUCCGAUUGCGAGGGCAGCAUACCGGCGCUCAACUGACGCUCAUGCACGAAAGCGUGGGUAUCGAACAGGAUUAGAUACCCUGGUAGUCCACGCAGUAAACGAUGAAUACUAACUGUCCGGGC